GUUAGGGUGGGGGUGGAGCACCAGCCCACCGACAGCAGCCGCUUUGGCCUGGGAGCCGGCGGCCCGGGUGUGGACGCGAGAAUGCCCCGCGGGCCCCUGCACUUGUCUGACACAAAUCAGGCUGACUAGGCUCAGGGAAUGAAGUAAAAGUUCCGGAUGCUUGAAGACCCUGAGUAGCCACCUUGCCCGAGCGAGACGCUGGCUGGUGGAGCGGCCUCCAGGGCUGCCGGAAAUGGGAGGAAGCCCUCGCAGGGGGUCCUGCGGUUCUAGCUUUUGUACCGCCCCGCCUAGGCCAGUCGGGAGCUGACGCACCCGCUCCCCAGAGACGCUGGGGGCGUCGCACUGCAGCUGGGUGGGGAGCAAUUUAUUCCUGGCGGUCACAUCCCACCCCAUCUUCUGUUACUCCACCCUACCCCUCCCAUCCCUCCACCUCUUCCUCCUCCUCUUCUACCAACGCCCGCACUAUUUUCUGAUUCUUUUUCUCCUCACCCUCCAUUCUCCCUCUCUCCCUUUCUUUUCCUCUCUCCCUUUCCCCCUCCCCCACUCUUCCAUGUCCCUCCCCCUCCUACGAAUAACCAAGCUUUUGCCUCUAAAAGUCACAAGAUGAGAGAGAGAGAGAGAGAGAGAGAGAGAGAGAGAGAGAGAGAGAGAGAGAGAGGCCUGCGAUGACUGAAGACAGGAGGGAAUCUGGUACACCUGGGAGUGAAAACUUGAUGCUUCUGGGCCAAGAUUUGCCAGGGCCUCGCUUAAGGUGAGUACUCUGGGGACCCGAGGAGUUCCCACUAGGAAGGCUCCAAACCCCGCCCAAAUCUGAGAGACCCGCGGUAAAGCGGUUGAAUCAGGGUUGGGGGAAGAUCCGGGAAGGAGCACAGCAUAAGGGUCCCAGGCCAAGUGGGUGCUGUAGCUUGCCUUGUAGCUCCUAGCUCCGGCUCUAGCCCAGGACUGCUUCCCAGCCUGCCUGGGGAAUCCGCGACGGCUGUGCCUUCCAGUGUCUCUUCCUAUGCCGACCUUCCCGCAGCUCCCCUCCUAACAAAUCGGCGUUCAAGGGAUUCAAGGGACUCUUUGGCGUUAGGAAGUGAGAAAGUCAGCCUCUCUCUCAGAUAGUGAAAGGGAAAGUUUGGCAAGGUGGAACUCUCUGGUGCUACUGUUCCCUCGAACCUAACCAAGGAUUCCCAGGUAGCGCAGAAUAUUGCUAUUUUUCUUUUUUAAAAAGAACGACUUUAACGAAAAUUCGUAUGUAGUCAAAAAGAUUAUUGGAUCACUAUGACUGAUCAGCUGCUGCUGACCUACCAAUAAGCGUUUUAAAAUACACACGUACAUUCAUGCGUGCCCCCUACACGCAAACACACUCGGGGGGUUAUGAGUAAUGAGUCAGACAGCUCUAAGUUACCAAGAAUUAAGUGGGAAUCUAAAGGUUUUUUUUUAAUGUUAUGCACGUAUGCUCUAUUUGUGUGCACAUUCGAGGAGGGGGAUGCUGAAGGAGCAUUCGUUGGCUGGGCAUUUUCUCCGUGCCUGUGUGUUGCGUGUGUUGUCAGCUGGCUCUGGUUUCUAAGCACCGAGAGUUGCCAAAGCUGGGGCCAGCAUCCACCUUGGCACCCUAGUGGCAGAACAGGACUCAUUUGUUUGGUGCAGAGCGGUGAGGACCUGGAAGAGGCUGGAGUGUAGUUAGGUCGGCCCCCUGCCAUCUAUUACACCUGCGGCAGAUGGCUCAAGUGGUAGAGCGGUUUUGUUUGCCAGGAUCAAGAAGGGAGGAGGAGGAGAUUCAUCCUCGCCCCACUCAAAAGAAGUACCGUAAAGAACCAGAGAAAUAAAAGAAGCCACGUCCAUGCCAUCAAAAGCAACAAUGCUGUCCCCUCCCCUGAGUUAUUCUGGGCAGUUAGUGACCUUGAUUCCUGGUCCCAACAGAUAUCCUGGCAGAAUUUUACGAAUAUAUUUUUGAUCAAAUGUUUUCUCUACGCGCGCGCGCGCACACACACACACAAGCACACACACAAGCACACACACACACACACACACACACACACACACACACACACACACACACACACACACAGGUGUAUGCACACAGGUGUCCUUGGAGCUGAAGGGAAUGCCACUCAAAAUCCAGGAAGUCCCUUUUCUUCCCAAGAGCUUCCUUCACUCAGACUGCCAACUCACGCAGAAAGACCCCUCCCUAGACGCCCGGCUAGCUGGGAUUUAAGCAGGCUCCAAAUGUAUCACUCUCAUUUUUACAUAGAGUGACGAUCCUUUCUGAUCAAUAUUCUCAUCCUUGCAUCCUUUCCUUCAUGUUACUCAACAAGCAGGGAAAGAAGUAAACACACACUCCCUGGUGACAGUGAAACAUGGACAGAUGUGACAAAGAGCGCACACAGUCUAUGAAGCUGUCUGUUUUCAAUUGUUUAAUUCUAUACUGAAGCCCAGAGUGAAGAGAGAACUAUAUCAAGGGACACCAAAACACAGCAGGACUCUGUCUGUACCCUUGCUCCACACAAGUCACUAUAAUCACAGACAUCUAUGUUUUAUAGCAAAUAUUUUCAUGUUUCUUAUGAGGUAAAUUAUUAUGCUGAUCUGAUUCUCUAAUGUAAAUCAAGUAAAUUUCCUUUGCCCAGGAUAUACUAUGCUAACUUGUUGGGAUGGUUGGUAUGUAGCUGCAGAGAAAUUCCACCAUUUUGGAGCACACAUUCUAUUAUUUUUCACUUAAGGCCAAAUGAUGUUUAGAAUUCUACCAAAGAAGAUGAAACAAAAAUCCAUUCUAGUUUUGGUUUGGGGGUCACAAAUAAGACACAUUCUAAAACCCCCACACAGAAAGGGGAAAACAUAAAAAACAAAACCACACUGCCAUUUUCCAAGAUUCCGGAAAGAAUCCUGUCAAUUCCGGAAGAAUCCUGUGAACUAGGUUUCUCUGGCUGGGUACUUACAUGCACCAUGUAAUUUAAUUAUUCUGCAAUCAUUUGCCUUCCCUAGGAGGGUUUUCAUUUUCCAAGGAGAAACUUUAAUAUACAGUAAGCUAUAAGGAUCGUUGAGAUGAAUAUAAGAAUAGUCCUGCCUUUUAUUCAGAAUUAGUAAUAUGAGUUUACUCACACAUCAGACAAAUAGCUAAGGGUCUGUUCUAAGGUGUGAGUGCAUGUAUUACCAAACCCACUACUAUCUACUUGCAGAAAAAUUAGAACAAGAAUACUGCAACCAUAAAAAUGAGAUGGGUCUUCUUGAACUUUUAAGAGUUUUUUUAAAUAAAAAAACCCAGAAAGACAACUGUUUUAAAACCUGCUUUUAGGGACACUAUGAGCAUCCUGUUUUAUUUAAAGAAAAAAGAAAUUAUCAAACUUUUACAAUUCUGAAGAAUGAAGACAAUAAUUUAGCCCAACCAAUGCUGCUUCUCCUCCCCUUUUCUGAUUUAAACAUGUUAGACCCUAGUUUCAACCAGUGUUCUAAACCUAAGAAUAAGAAUUUCCAAUAUGAACUCGUGACCUUUGAAUUAACAGGUGAAUUUAUUGUGUGUGUUUUUUUUAAAUCUGGGGUUUGAGAACAAAUGACAUUUUAAAUUGAAACCUCAGAGACUCCAACUAGUUCAAAUGAUGCAGUGUUUUAAGGGAAAGGAAUCUGCCUUCAUAUUUUAACAGGACAGUCCCGAAUCACAGUAAGAUUUCAAAGGCCCCUGCCCGCUCAGAACCUGGCACAAGGAAAGGAAAAGUGUAGAGUAAGAGGGCAUGCUGGGUCCCCUCCCUCUUCCACUCGCCGCUGGGACCACCUACAUCACAUGCUUUCAUAUGAAAUGGCUAUUUGGUUUUACAGAAAAGACUCAUGAGACGAAAUCUAGAAUAUGCAAUAUGCAAAUUGUACUCAGCCACACUUUAUAUAAAAUACAUACAUACAUAUAUAUUAACAUAUCUACUUUGAUACACAUGUUCUUGUGUGUGCUUAGGUCUCAAAAAACAUCGCCAUCAUUCCAAGUUUGUCUUAGCUUGAGGAAUUAAUAAGGUUAUAAUCCCUUUUUUUUUUUUUUUUAAAAAAAAAAAAAAGGUACCAAAUGUUUUCUGGAUGCAGUGCAAUGAGGUAAAGCCAUUUAGCACCCAGAAGGGCUCAACCAAUUUACAGGCCUUUGGCGGUGCCAGGUAUUUUUAAAGAUAGUCUUCAAUUGGCGCUGAAAUAGGUGUGGUGGUGAAGAAUAAAUUAUAUUAAUAAGCUCAUGUAAAUUGGGAUUCGAUAUUUGUUUGCAUAUCAUAAAACCAAAGAACUGUGAUCAACUGCAUUUGCAGGUCCCUAGGGUUCCCAGAAGAAAGGGCCUUCGGCUGGAUGUUUUGUGUGUUGCCUGUGUGAUCAGGCCCCUUCUGCAGCCCCCCCCCCCCGCCCCCAGAGCCCUCUAGAAACUAUAGCUUUGUCUUUCCUAGUGCAGAAAUGGCUAGAGAGGUCCCAAGAGCCUUAAACACAAAGCUAUUGAAGCUCCCCAAGCCCAGAGAAUUCAGGUUCUCCGGGUCAGGGCCGCCCCGACGGCCCAAGCACGGUCCUCAAGGGGCCAGUAGGUGUCGCUGUUUCCCUGCUGGCAGGAGCCUGGAGCCCGACGUUGGCCCCUAGCACCACUCAGCUUUCGGCCCCGGGUGCUUUCCCAGACUCCUCUGAACUCCAGGGUUGUGAACGCUCCCACAUUGUUUUUCCCCCUAAACCCUGUCCUGGCUCACCUGGCCAGGGCCACAGCAACAGUGGUCGACCUAAGGGAACAUCUAUGGAGAGAAAAACGAGAGACUAAUUUGGUAGGGCCAAAAGGCCACCCCUACGGAAUAGGCUGAAAGCCUGCUUCAUCUGCCUCCCAUGCUCCUUUCUCUUCACAGGCCGAGGGUGGCAAAGGUCUAUGGGGAGCACCCUGGUAAAACCCAAAAUUUGAAGAAUUCAGACACGGUUUUACUUUGACUUUGAAAAAUAAACAAGAGGUUCACAACUAGCUUUGCGGGACCUAGUCACAGAAAGAGUUUUCAUAUCCUAGUCUCAAAAGACUAUGAAGGAGGUUGGGAGGAGGGGGCAGAACGCUAGGCCUGGACCAUGAGCUACCUAUGUUUUUGCCCACAUGCCUGUGCGCAGUGUCGGGUGAACGCACUGGCCAUCCUUUGCUCUGACCCAGAAAGAAAAAUUUGAAGUACCCUAGUCUCCCCCACCGCCCUCCCUAAAGCAUUGCUUACUAGGCAUUAAUCUCCCUUGGAUAGGGUUAGCCUAUCUUUGCAAUCUGUAUUAAAAUUCUAGGUAUUGAGAAUUCUGCUCCUUUAUUUGACGUCCUGCGGGCCCCUGGCUUUGGCUCAGUAUACCGCGUAAGCGAUUAUUAACCAGAGGCGUUCUUUUUGUGUCUGGCAGGGGGAGGGGGGAUUUGGCUUGCAGAUUCCAAGAGAGACACUUAACAAUGGUUACAUCCUAUAGAUGGCUGGAGAUUUUAUUACGAUCCGGAUUUCUAUGCAUAGGGACCCCACUGCUCUGAGGGAGAAGGUGGCUGGGGGAGAUGGCAUGAAACACCCUAAAUUCAGUCUUGCACAGUCUCAAGAGGUGUUAUGGAAGUGGAAUCAGCUUUGUAUUUAAUGCGAGUCUAAAAAUAAUGUCUGCGGUCAAGAGUUUGCUGUAAUUUUUUUAAAGACCCAUGCUGCUGUGUUUUGUGUAAAAGUGAAACAUUCACAAAGACGAAAUAUGAAAUUCGCAAAUAGAAGGCAGAGGAAAACUUCGCACUUAAGGUGCCAAAUAUAUUGGGAUAAUUUCCCUGUAAUGUCUAGGCUGAGGCAUUUCCCUCUCAGGACCAGAAGCACAAGAGGCUACGUAUUCAAAGAGAAGCUGACUUUUUAGCCAGAGUUAGCAAAUAUCUUCAUUAAAUGUCACGCCUUUGCUGUUCCAUAAAAUAGACGCCUUCCUUUAAAGUCUUAUGUCUGUUAUACAAUUUUAAAUAAUCAUUUCUGAUCCAGACAGCAGAUUUAUCUCUGGGGGUGGGGUAGGACGAGCACGUGUCUAAUUGUAGGUUGUGAAGUUCAGUGAGGUGGUAUUUUUAGCUUGAAAUGCUCAGAUUCAUAUAUUUGGAUGUUUCUUCCGGUCUCAUCCUUUCUGUUUUUCCCCCUGAUUCACUCAACCCUUUCUCUCAUUUUCCGCUCUUUUUUGUCUCUGUCUUCCUUCUCCCCUCUACAGCGCCUCUCGUCCUUUCCUUUCACUUCUUCUCUUUCUCGCCUCUUUUCUUUCUCUUUCCCGCUCGCCCCCUUUCUUGUAUAAUUUAUUGUCUGAUUCUAUCAGUCAAGUUAAUAUGAAACUAGCAAGAGGGAGGCCCAUUACCCUUAUCUGGCCCUCUCCCCGAAGCGCUUAUGAGACUUAGGGAGCUGUCGGUAGCUGUCAGGUUAUGGACCAGAGCGGCGGCCCUAGGUGCAGAGUACUCUGCCUGUGGAAGAGUUGGGGUCCGCCUGGGGUUGCGGGGCUUAUUCAAAUACCGCCCGCUGCUGUCGUGAUUCGCAGGGACUCGGCCUCCAUAUGACGCCUAAAGGAGCCUGUUUGUGUGCUGUUGCCACGUUCUGCUGUGCCUGGGUCUUGUCUUCUGCCUGUAGCUUCGAUUUCGGUCCGGCUGGAUUUGGGGGACAACACUGCCUGUCGCAGGGACAUCAAGUGAGACUUCAAAGAAGCAUAAAAUGAAUAGACUAUUCAAUCAAACAAAGACCGGGGGCAGCAGUACUCCAGCAAGACAGCAUCUUCUCCCCAGCCUAGAAGUCCUGAGAAAUCGAGGAUCUCCCCCUAAAACAUUCACAUACAAGAUAUGUGCAAUCAAGCUGCCAGCACUUGGUAAAAAGCUCAUGAUGCCUAACCCAAUGAUCCGGCGCAGAUCUUUGAAUCAGCUGUCACUUCUAUAGAAUGGGAUUUUCCCCCUCUUCCUCUUUUACCAGCGCUGGAAACUGCCGACUGCUUUAUACAUCUCAGUAGAGGAAGGCUAAAGAAUCUUACGUGAGAACGAAGCAAUUUACAAUGCAAAUAGAGGCCUGUGAAGUGAUGGACGCUGCAGCUCACUGGAACAGCUUGCUGCACCUUAGUCGCUGGUUCUCAUUUUCUGAUAUUAAUAGAUGAAUUGUUGGCUAACGCUGCUGGAGAUUACUUGCUGGAAGGGAAAAAAAAAGUUUGGAAUAAACUCUGAAUGCAACAGAUCUUAUUUGGAUGUUUAGCUGCACUCACUCAGACAGAAACCAGGUCAUGUUUGCAUGAAAAGAGGAAUCUUAAACGCGGCAAAAAUCCUGGAGGACUACACUUGUGUAGAUCCAGAGUGGAGCCGGAUCUGGAGUGGAGCCAGAGGAAGACUUCCUGUGAAGGAAGCGAGUUGUUAUCUUUGGUUAUCUAGCUGUAUGAGUGUAUUGGUCUUCAUAAAGCUAGAUAACCGAAAGUAAAAACUCCUUCAAGAUCACCGAGGAGCCGCCCAGAAUGAAAGCCUACAGCCAAGAGACAGUAAAGACCAGAAAGGUCAGGAAUGCUUAUUGAAUCUAACUUUUUUUCUUAUGAUUAAAAGUGGGAUGCAAGGAAAUUAAGUGACACACAUAUUUGAAAUCUAAAGGGGCCAGGUUUUGAGAGGGGCUGUACGACUGGAGAGGAGAAUUGUGUGGCUUUUAUGGAUGAAGAUGCAUGGGCUUUCUAUAUUGUUCUGUUUUGGAGCAAACGUUUACAUAUGAGAAAUGUUUUUCUUAGAAAGCUGUUAUAGUGAUGCCUGAUACCUCGUUUAAAAAUGAUGCAAUAAUUAUGUAGAUUUGGGCAGUUCCCUUUUGAGGCCCCUCCCUCAAGUUUGAAGCUUGUGCUUGGAAACUUUCUAUGUAUUUGGGGGCUGUACAUUAAAUUCUAUGAAGUUAGACUUUCAGUAAAGCUUAUAUUGGAAGGCUAAUAAUUUAUAUCUCCCGAGGACUUAGAGCUAGCAGGGAAAAUGGGGGGGGGGGCUCUGAUUUUUAUUCUUCUAUUCAAAAUACAAGGACAGAUGCUUCUCUGUUCCAAGAGGGUUUCCUUGAGGAAGUUACUGAAGCAGAAAGACAUGAUGGAGACGAGAUCGCCUCCCCUCUUGUCAAAGUGUUAAAAAAAUGUUCUGUCUUACUCUGCGCCUAGCAUUGGAAAUGAAAGUGACAUUUACGCCACAACCCACGUGUGCGCCUCCUCUCUUUUUGUUUAAGGAUGAUCAGGUCUAUCCAGGAAACAGCUCUGGCAUCCCAAACUGAAAUAAUUAGGACGUAUAUAGACCUGACAAAAAUGGAAAGGGGGUGGGGAAUCUGAGGGUCUGUCUUGCCUAAUUGAUUCCGCUAAACGGAAAGCAGGAGAUGUGAACGGCAGGACGCUCCGAUUCCCACGCUCGGGGGCAAGUGGUAAAGCCUGGCCGGCAGCCUAUGACAGACAGCCCUGUUGGGGGGCAGGGGUAUGAAAAAAACAUCAAGCACACACACCAUACUCAUCUCCAUCGCUUAAGAAAGUAAAGGCAUUUCCCACCCACAGCCAUCUGCAGCCUCCCAAAUGGCAACACCAACUGGUUGGUAGCUGCUGCAUACUGUUUCUGUUAAUUUUUAAACCACUGUUUAAUCUGGCCACCAUUAAAUUUGGCUUUCUACUUUGGUUGAAAUUUUCAUUAUUUAAGGAAAGCAAGUGGAAAGGGAUGCCAAGAACGUCCCUUGGAGAAAUUCUCAGCCUAUGGUUAGGGCCUUGUGAUCACCUUUGGGCUUUUCUUUUGGCUGUGUUAUAUUAUAAGUCUCGUCUGAUAACACUCUGACUUAGUUCAUCAGGCUGUUUACUUCUCUAUGUGACACAGGAACUUGGCCUACUUAUGCUAAUCUACAUCCUGGAAAUAAAGCUAUAAAGUCAUCAGUCUGUAGAAAGUUGACUACAAUCACAAUGCGUUUAAAACUUGUUUUAGAACAGUCUUAGCAGGACGUGUGCUACAGCUUCUUCUUCUUCUUCUUCUUCUUCUUCUUCUUCUUCUUCUUCUUCUUCUUCUUCUUCUUCUUCUUCUUCUUCUUCUUCUUCUUCUUCUUCUUCUCUUUUUCCCUAAAAGUAACUAGUUCUAGCAGAAACUUUGAAGUUUUGGAGAAAUUCAUUGUAAAGCUUUUCUGAAAUUCCUUAUAUUUUGUUACAUGUUAUCAGGCAAACAUUUGUGUAGACAUUUGCACAUAAACACAACCAUUGCAAUAAAAAAAUUGUCCAAAAUUGCCUGUUAUCUUCCACAUGGCCUAAAUUACUGACACUCCCAAAUACAUAAUUUUUCUUCAGGGACAGUGCAUUUUUCUUUAUUACUUCAAUUUCUUAUAAGACUGAGACUGGGAAGGCCUGAAAAGCCACUGUUAGCUUCACAUAGAAAAAGCUGAGAGACUUUAAUAACGCAAAUUCUCAAUUUGGCUGCUGAACACGUGCCAAAGUUUUACUACUGUAGUGACUGUUGAGAAGACCCGUGUUUGUUUACCUUUGAAGCACUGUUUGUGCAAACAAGCUUUCAUUGUAAAGUGCCUGUGUUCCUUUCAUUUGCCCCAUGUCCAGGGGUGCUAUUUACCUAGAACCAUUGUCUACUACAAUUAACAUUUACAUUACAAAGUGUGUGGUUUUCUUUCUCAAGGAGGUUCAAUUAAGGCAAUAAGAUGUUUGCUGGGGAAACCUAUUGUUUACUCAAAGCACUCAAUGGAGUCAAAUUACUGAAGUUUUUGCCUACAUCUUGGUCGUUUAUGUAAAUAUGUUAACUAUAACAUCUAAGGAAAAUAAACAAUAUUAAAAUUAUGUGUUUGCCAUUGUCAUAUCAAACUUGCUUUGUAUCAUACUAAUGUUACAUAACUUAUCGAUCAAUAAAAAUACAUUUCAAUGUUAUUUUCAUUUUAUUUUUUUGCUACUCCACUGCUCUUGCUGCAACAUGUCCCCAAUUUUUUUUCUAUUACACAUCAAACUUCUGACAUUUUGUUUUAUUUGUGUGUGUUGAAAGAGGUACCAUAUUUGAGCAUGGGUGUAAAGGGUGUCCAAGAUAAUCUCUACAAUUACCUUAUCAUAAGGUGAUUUUUUUUUAAAUCUGAAAUAUUCCUAAGGCAUGCACAUUUAAGUCAAAAGAAGUGUAAAUAUCAGUUAAGCAGUUCUUUGAAAGCUAGUUUUAGCAUUGGCAGAAACCGGAUCGAGUUUAUUUAGCAUACCCCUGCAUUGUAAAACAGUUGGAGGGAAGUUGCAGGUUGCGUGAGUAUGCAUGUUAACUAGUGGGAACCAAGGCAGUCUUUGUGACAGGGAAGCAGCAGAUUGCUGUGCAAGGCCAAUGUUAAAAAGGCAGCUGAAUUUAACACCAUCUGGAAGAAAAGAUCCCUUCACGACUUUCUCACACCGUCAGACAAAACUAGUGUCUCUUGUUCUGAGCCCUUGUCUAUGCAACCAUACAAUACUGAGUCAUUAUACUUUUGCUGAGAGAAAAUUUGAGAACACAAUAUGGGUAACCAGUGAAUGACCAAGUUUCAUUGUGCCCGUCUAAGUCGAUUGAAAUCUACGUCUAGAGCUAUGAAUGGUUGUAUUGUUUUCCUCACCAGGGCUGUACUAAAUGUCAGCACAGUGUAAAGAAAAACUUGAAGUCUGCAAAUAACUUACCAGAUCUCAAUUAUAAUAUUUUCCCACACUAGAACUAAUAUCAUUGCAAGGGGCUACAUUGCAGAAAAUACAAAAAGAGAUGAGAAGAAAUAAAAGAGUUCAUUACGAAGUUAUUUUAUCUAUACAAACAUUUUAAUUUUCUGAUUCGAAGUUUAGAAUGCAGGCCUAGUUGAGGAGUGGAGUUCAUUACUUGGAUGCUGAAGUUACAAAAAUGCUCUUGUGCAAUUAAAAUAGAUUAAGAACAAAUUCUCACCUCUACCUGAAACUAAUUAUGCAUCAAUGAACUCCACUUGGAUUUUAUUGCUAUAGUUUGAUUAGAAUUGCUAGUGUGACUCUAUCUUAAAUUUUGUUUUGAGUUUUAGCAUGCUACUCUUUCAAAGUUUGCCACUAUCAUUGACACUGUAAACAAACACCAUAGAAAUACAUUUGCCAAUAUACACAGAAGUAUACUGGGGGAUUCUAGUGCCUUCAAAAUAUGUUUCCUAUUUAUAAUUUCUAAUUUGUUUUUACACAGAAUAUCAAUCAGUUAUCUUCAAGGUUAAUAUUCACCUGUUCUAUUUGAUUGUAAACAGUUAGAAAAGGUAACAAAACAAUUCAAAAAUAGUAAAAGAAGUCAAUUGUGUAUAUUUUAUUAAGAUGUCUUUAAAUAUAAUUGACUUUGCAAUUUUGUUAUUGUGUCACUAAGUGUCACAUAGUUCUUAAUGUGUAAGUGCAAAACAAUGAGUAAUUGCUGUUUUGCUGAAUAAUACAUCUGAGUUGCCAAUAUCAAAUGUCUUAUUUUGUGUAUUCCCAAACAGGAGCAUUAGCUGCUGUUUUUGACAUUUAGAACCUUUUCAGGAAUUCUGAGAAAGAGGACGAUAAAAUGAUACCUUUAAAAGUAAAUGUAAAGCUAUAAGCAACUUAUUUUCCUUGUCUUAUUUUGUGAUACUAGAAAUUAACAAUGAAAAGUCAGUCAUUCAAAAUCAAAUUAUAAAGCAUAUAAUAUUAAACACAGAUAAAAAUCCAACACAGCAACAAAAAUGGAAAUUGAAUAGAAGUUAAAACACAGAUACACAGAAGACUUCUAUAAUACCUUGCCAAAAUAUGCAUGGGUAUAAUAUUAGUGUCUUUCCCUCACUGAAGUUAUGCAUAAUAAUGAGAUAGCUACAAUAGUUACAUUCAAAAUAAAAUAUUUUUUCAAAAUAGUUCUUCAAGUCUUCAAGCAUU
rnacentral:lncRNA from 1 species